GCUCCGGUGGCCUUGUGGUUAGCGAGUCCGCCUUGGAUGCGGGAGGUCGUGGGUUCAAAUCCCGACCGAUUCA